rfam:Ciona savignyi cont_37925, whole genome shotgun sequence.
GUCUAUCACCAUUCCAGAUUGAAUAUACCCGAUCUCGUCUGAUCUCGGAAGUCAAGCAAUCUCGGGCUUGGUUAAUACUUGGAUGGGUGACCGCUUGGGAAUACCAAGUGUGAUAAGCA